CUGCUCCGCCCCUCGCGUCGCGGCCCCGCCCCCGCGGCCGCUGCGCGCCGGACGGGGCCAACCAGGGCGUCAGGGUCCUGGGGACGCCGCCUCAAGGCCGCGGCGGCGAUGAGCUCCGAGCGGGACACUGAGCGGCCCGAACGCGCAAGAUAAGCACGGACUGAACUAGGUACACGUACCUGCCGGGGACGCACUGACCGAGGUGCGGACGGCGGUACCAGGACAAGUAAAGCCGCGAACACUCGGACCUAAGAACUUGACAGGUACACCCUGCCUGAUGAAGCUACGGCCAGGUGCGCAUCGAGUGAAUCAGGAUGAGAACCUACUUCUUCAUAAAGAGAAUUUGGAGGGAGCUUUUUGUUCUGUGGGGACAACAUCUGGAUUUGAAUACAUCCAUGCUCAAAAGGAGAUUUCUCAUAAUGGACCCAACUGAAAGCACUCAGAGUACAAGGACCGGUGAGCUUUCAAAAGGAGACACUUCAGGAGACUUGCCAGGGGCCCUCGUAUCCCCGGCAGCGCGAGUUUUGGAGGUCAGUGGAGGGCUCUCGCGUCAGGCAUGUAACUUUCAUACUCAAAUACUUAUCUUCAUCCUCUACCCCUCACCCCCACUGCAGAAACUUGGGGCUUGAAUUCAUUUAAAAACAUUUGUGGUUUCAGAAGUCUCCUUUUUAUUAUAAAGCUGCCAAGAUCUUAGAAUGAAAGGCAUUUUUAGAGAUGAGAAAGAAGGAAGCCAGGUCAAGGCCGGCCUGGCUCUCAGCCGUGGGUCUGUAAAGGUGACACGUGGGACAUGGCCACCUGCAGACCCUGCAGGCAGCUGGGCGGAGGCACCCGCAGGGCCCUGGGUUUGAAUCCCUGCUCUGCCAGUCAUUUCCACGGUGAUCUUGAGGGAAGUUGUGUAACCUCUGGGCCCCGCGACGCCCCUUCCUGGAGCCGGGAGCUGGAACGAAGUCCCCUGGAGCCCUGACAUCAGAGGUGACGCUACUCUUCGCAGGCAAUGACUCGGCAGAAUGUGAUGCCACUCCCUAACCCGCGUCCGGGCUGACAGGGUGUGUGCCGCCUCCCACCAGGUGGUCUGGUUGCUUUGAUGGUCCUCCUAACAUCCCUGCACCCCAGAGCCCUCAGUGCUGGCCAGACCUUCACUCACUCCUCGGUUGCAACCCCGUUCUCAUAUAGCGGGUCUCACAGGCUGGCCUAUGGCGCCCCCUGCUGGUGACUGCAGGGAGAAGGGUGCCCUAAGUCAAAGGAAGUCCUUCCUGGGGUCUAAUCUCUACCUUUUGCCUGAUGAGGCAGCUGAGGUGGCUGGCUUUCUCCUCCACCCCAGAAAAUAAAGUCAUAUGGAGUCCAA